rnacentral:rRNA from 1 species
GACGAACGCUGGCGGCGUGCUUAACACAUGCAAGUCGAACGGAAAGGCCCCUUUGGGGGUACUCGAGUGGCGAACGGGUGAGUAACACGUGAGUAACCUGCCCUUGACUUCGGGAUAACUUCAGGAAACUGGGGCUAAUACCGGAUAGGAAUCCUUGCUGCAUGGUGGGGGUUGGAAAGCUUCGGCGGGUUUGGAUGGACUCGCGGCGUAUCAGCUUGUUGGUGGGGUAGUGGCUUACCAAGGCUGUGACGGGUAGCCGGCCUGUGGGGGCGACCGGCCACAUUGGGACUUAGAGACGGCCCCGACUCCGACGGGAGGCAGCAGGGGGGAAGAUUGCCCGAUCGGCGGCAGCCUGAUGCAGCAACGCCGCGGGCCGGAUGACGGCCUUAGGGUUGUAAACCGCUUUCAGCAGGGGCGAAGCUUGUGGUGACGGUACCUGCAGAAGAAGCACCGGCUAACUACGUG